AGUCGAGCGAUGAACACCUUCGGGUGUGAAUUAGCGGCGAACGGGUGAGGAACACGUGAAGAAUCUGCCUUCAACUCUGGGAUAACUCCGGGAAACCGGGGCUAAUACCGGAUAUGAGCCUCGAUCGCAUGAUUGGGGCUGGAAAGUUUUUCGGUUGAAGAUGACUUCGCGGCCUAUCAGCUUGUUGGUGAGGUAAUGGCUCACCAAGGCGACGACGGGUAGCCGGCCUGAGAGGGCGACCGGCCACACUGGGACUGAGACACGGCCCAGACUCCUACGGGAGGCAGCAGUGGGGAAUAUUGGGCAAUGGAGGAAACCCUGACCCAGCGACGCCGCGUGAGGGAUGAAGGCCUUCGGGUUGUAAACCUCUUUCAGUAGGGAAGAAGCGAAAGUGACGGUACCUACAGAAGAAGCACCGGCUAACUAUGUGCCAGCAGCCGCGGUAAUACAUAGGGUGCAAGCGUUGUCCGGAAUUAUUGGGCGUAAAGAGCUCGUAGGUGGUUCGAUACGUCGGAUGUGAAAAUCAGGGGCUCAACCCCUGACCUGCAUCCGAUACGGUCGAGCUAGAGUUUGGUAGGGGAGACUGGAAUUCCUGGUGUAGCGGUGGAAUGCGCAGAUAUCAGGAGGAACACCGAUGGCGAAGGCAGGUCUCUGGGCCAAUACUGACACUGAGGAGCGAAAGCGUGGGGAGCGAACAGGAUUAGAUACCCUGGUAGUCCACGCCGUAAACGGUGGGCGCUAGUUGUGCGAACCUUCCACGGUUUGUGCGACGCAGCUACGCAUUAAGCGCCCCGCCUGGGGAGUACGAUCGCAAGAUUAAACUCAAGGAAUUGACGGGGCCCCGCACAAGCAGCGGAGCAUGCGGCUUAUUCGACGCA
rnacentral:rRNA from 1 species